CACCUGUCAUGCAUCCUCAGGGUAAAGGAGUCCACAGUGCUUUCCUGAGGAGGAGAGAACCUCGGAAACCCCCUAACCCUGGGGUUAAGGGAGGAGGGAGCCAUAAUGAGAGGCCUGAGACACUUUGAGGACCUCACAAUUGGGUCAGUGUGGUACUGACUGGGGGCAAGAGUGAGCUUGAGUUGGCAUGUCAUGACCAGAGGUGAUAAACUGAUCAUUUGUUUUAUCCCCUUGUCUCUUAAGGGCCU
rnacentral:lncRNA from 1 species